rnacentral:lncRNA from 1 species
UGACAAUUACUUUUUUUUUUAUUCUUGGACCAUGAUAACAAAAGCUAUUGAUUCAACUUUUUCUAUAUAUUUAAAGUGAUAAAAGAAUUCAACAAGAACGAAUUAAAAACAGUAGUAGUACGGAUUUAAUUUCUACACUAACAUAAUUCAUGAAUCAAAUCCUUAUCUUUUGAUAAAAAAAACUCAUAAAUUAUACUGAAGAGGGUCGGUACCCAGUAGUAGAACGCGUCGGAAAAUUGAAUUUUUAUGUUAGAAUAGCCAGAAGUUACAGUUGUUCUCCAAAUUUAUCUCUGCCGGCGCUAGCUUGGCCGGAGAAGAAGGCAAUGGAGGACCGAGAGGUGCUGGAGACGACAGAAGACCUAGUUUCACUGGAUUAUGGCUGGUCUUGCCGGAAAAAUGAAGGGAAGCACUGAAGGAGGCUGUGCCGAUCGGAAAAUCAUAACUCGCAACCUUUCCCUUCCUGCGUUAUAGGAAGGAGAGAGAGAGAGAGAGAGAGAGAGAGAGAGAGAGACCGGAGAGACGCUGCCAACGAGUGGACUCGACCGGUUGAGCUGGAUUUGCCGGAAAAUGCAAGGAUAACCGGGAAAAUCAACUGUCCCGAUCGGAAACUAAAUCGCAACUUCCUACGAUUGAUCGGCGAAGCUCGAGCUCCGGUGAACAGAAAUCGCAAAACGGGAAAGGGAAAAGGCUUGUCGGAGGAAUCGGGGAGAGAAGAGAGGAGGGUUGGGAUUUUUUUUUUUUUCCGUAAUUUUAGGAUUUCUGGAGCCUUCUAAUUGGUCUAAGGCUGGUUUGAUUUAAUUUGGGUCUGAUUUGCCCAAUGUUUUAUUUGACUUUCAAUUGGUUUAUGGGUUUCUUGAUGGGUUUAAUUAGUUUGUGGUUUGGUUUAACAAUAUAAACAUGUAUAUGUAUUAAAUCUUUGUUAAACAAAUUCACAAGCUAUUGAAAGUAUAUAAUUAAAAAACCUAUUAAAAUAUAAUAAUUAAUUCAUCAUUGCAUAAAAAUAUUUAAAUCCUUUGAAAUUGCACACACUUAAAUCUCUACAAAAAUAAACAAAAUAAAACUAAACUAAGCAAAAAAUAAACAAAAUAAAACUAAACUAAGCAAAAUAUAAAAUGAAAAAACAAAACCAA